rnacentral:rRNA from 1 species
CCCCCACAAUGGGACUGAACACGGCCAUACUCCUACGGGAGCACACGGGAAUAUGCGCAAUGGACGGAAGUCAGACGCACGACGCCGGUGGGUGAGAAGCUUCGGGUUGUAAAGCUCUUUUCAGGGGAGCGAGAAAGGACGGUACCCUUGGAAUAAGCGUCGGCUACUACGUGCCAGCAGCCGCGGUAAGACGUAGACGCAAGCGUUAUCCGGAUUUACUGGGCGUAAGCGCCUGUAGGCGGUCAAGUAAGUCGGAUGUGAAAGCCCCGUGCUCAACGCGGGGAAGCCAUUCGAUACUGCGUGACUAGAGAACGGCAGAGGGAAACGGAAUUUCUGGUGUAGCGGUAAAAUGCGCAGAGAUCAGAAAGAACACCGAUGGCGAAGGCAGUUUCCUAGGCCGCAUCUGACGCUGAGAGGCGAAAGCUAGGGGAGCAAACAGGAUUAGAGACCCUGGUAGUCCUAGCUGUAAACGAUGGAUGCUAGGUGUGGGCCGGAAAGGUCCGUGCCGUAGUUAACGCGAUAAGCAUCCCGCCUGGGGAGUACGGCCGCAAGGCUAAAACUCAAACGAAUUGACGGGGACCCGCACAAGCAGCGGAGCGUGUGGUUUAAUUCGAUGCUACACGCAGAACCUUACCUGGGCUUGACAUGUAGGUGGUAGUGAAGUGAAAGCGGAGCGACCCUUCGGGGAGCCUACACAGGUGCUGCAUGGCUGUCGUCAGCUCGUGCCGUGAGGUGUCGGGUUAAGUCCCGUAACGAGCGCAACCCUUGUCCUUAGUUACAAGUGUCUAAGGAGACUGCCGGUGACAAACCGGAGGAAGGUGGGGAUGACGUCAAGUCAGCAUGGCCCUUAUGUCCAGGGCGACACACACGCUACAAUGGUCGGUACAAUGGGCAGCGCAGCCGCGAGGUGAAGCGAAUCCCAACAAAGCCGAUCCCAGUUCGGAUUGCAGGCUGCAACCCGCCUGCAUGAAGCCGGAGUUGCUAGUAACCGCGCGUCAGCCAUAGUGCGGUGAAUACGUUCCCGGGUCUUGUACACACCGCCCGUCACGUCAUGGGAGUUGGUAACGCACUGAAGCCGGUAGUCUGACCUAACGGAGGACGCCGUCGAAGGCGGGACUGGCGACUGGGACGAAGUCGU